GAUGAACGCUGGCGGCGUGCCUAAUACAUGCAAGUAGAACGCUGAAGGAAGGAGCUUGCUCUUUCCGGAUGAGUUGCGAACGGGUGAGUAACGCGUAGGUAACCUGCCUGGUAGCGGGGGAUAACUAUUGGAAACGAUAGCUAAUACCGCAUAACAGUAGAUGUUGCAUGAUAUCUACUUAAAAGGUGCAAUUGCACCACUACCAGAUGGACCUGCGUUGUAUUAGCUAGUUGGUGAGGUAACGGCUCACCAAGGCGACGAUACAUAGCCGACCUGAGAGGGUGGUCGGCCACACUGGGACUGGGACCCGGCCCAGACUCCUACGGGAGGCAGCAGUAGGGAAUCUUCGGCAAUGGACGGAAGUCUGACCGAGCAACGCCGCGUGAGUGAAGAAGGUUUUCGGAUCGUAAAGCUCUGUUGUAAGAGAAGAACGAGUGUGAGAGUGGAAAGUUCACACUGUGACGGUAUCUUACCAGAAAGGGGCGGCUAACUACGUG
rnacentral:rRNA from 1 species